GCCACAAUAGAAUCUUAGUAGCGGCGGACGGGUGAGUACACGUGGGUAACCUGCCUGUAAGACUGGGAUAACUCCGGGAACACCUGGGGCUAAUACCGGAUGCUUGAUUGAACCGCAUGGUUCAAUCAUAAAAGGUGGCUUUCAGCUACCACUUGCAGAUGGACCCGCGGCGCAUUAGCUAGUUGGUGAGGUAACGGCUCACCAAGGCGACGAUGCGUAGCCGACCUGAGAGGGUGAUCGGCCACACUGGGACUGAGACACGGCCCAGACUCCUACGGGAGGCAGCAGUAGGGAAUCUUCCGCAAUGGACGAAAGUCUGACGGAGCAACGCCGCGUGAGUGAUGAAGGUUUUCGGAUCGUAAAACUCUGUUGUUAGGGAAGAACAAGUACCGUUCGAAUAGGGCGGUACCUUGACGGUACCUAACCAGAAAGCCACGGCUAACUACGUGCCAGCAGCCGCGGUAAUACGUAGGUGGCAAGCGUUGUCCGGAAUUAUUGGGCGUAAAGCGCGCGCAGGCGGUUUCUUAAGUCUGAUGUGAAAGCCCCCGGCUCAACCGGGGAGGGUCAUUGGAAACUGGGGAACUUGAGUGCAGAAGAGGAGAGUGGAAUUCCACGUGUAGCGGUGAAAUGCGUAGAGAUGUGGAGGAACACCAGUGGCGAAGGCGACUCUCUGGUCUGUAACUGACGCUGAGGCGCGAAAGCGUGAGGAGCGAACAGGAUUAGAUACCCUGGUAGUCCACGCCGUAAACGAUGACUGCUAUUGUUUAGAGGGUUUCCGCCCUUUUACUGCUGCAACUAACGCAUUAAGCACUCCGCCUGCG
rnacentral:rRNA from 1 species